CCUGUCCUACACUUUAUACAUUAUAAUAUCUCCUGGGUUUUCUUGAACCUUCGCUCAAAAGCCUAGGCACUAAAGAUUUCAGACAGACACAUGCUGUUUACAGUUUUUGAUAACAUCUCUCCUCUGCUGAGGCAAGCCUGUGUGAGGGCAAUAGCUUGAUCUUCACUUGAUGAUUCCAGCAACUACACUCAAAGUCAAUAGAAGACACAGGAGAAGAAAAUCCAAAGGAAAUAAGGAAGAAAGAUACAGAGUGUCUUCAGAGCAUGGAUAUGGUGAUUCUAAGUCAACCUUCCUACAGUCCUGUGGUAAAGGCGACCUCCUCCCCAUACAGAGGCAGAUCUUGGAAUUGGGAACAGGCUUCCUUCCACGCCACCGCAUUUCCGUCUGAGAAAUCGAUUCGUCUUCCCAUUCUCAGCAUAAGCAGCGGAGGCAUGCAGUUUUCCUGGGCGCCAGACUCCAUGGUGAGGGACUCCUCCUGCACUGUGGCCUCUAACUGAACAAGAACAGAAUCAAGCCCCUUGGAUCAGAUGCAGCCAUUAGUUAGGAACACAACAUAUGGCUGGAGGAUAAUUAAGAAGCUGGUGCUUCGGAGAAUAUGAGUAAAUAAAAUGGAGAA